GCAGUAGCCGCGGGAAUACGUAGGUGGCAAGCGUUGUCCGGAAUUAUUGGGCGUAUAGGGCUCGCAGGCGGUUUCUUAAGUCUGAUGUGAAAGCCCCCGGCUCAACCGGGGAGGGUCAUUGGAAACUGGGAAACUUGAGUGCAGAAGAGGAGAGUGGAAUUCCACGUGUAGCGGUGAAAUGCGUAGAGAUGUGGAGGAACACCAGUGGCGAAGGCGACUCUCUGGUCUGUAACUGACGCUGAGGAGCGAAAGCGUGGGGAGCGAACAGGAUUAGAUACCCCCGUAGUCCCUGUCUCUUAUAC
rnacentral:rRNA from 1 species